rnacentral:lncRNA from 1 species
ACAUUAUUAACUAAACUGAAUCGAAUUAAUUUUUUGGAUUAGUUCUAUUAUGAUGUAGAAAGAAGGGAAUUAUUAGUCUUACAUUGGUUAUGAGUGAAGAAGGAAUCUGGUUUAUAUAGGAAGAUACUAUCCUUCUCAUGUAAGGUAUCUUUUGAAGGAUAAAAUUAUAAAACCCAUAGGCCAGAGUGAAUAAUAUCUCAUGUGUCG